rnacentral:tRNA from 1 species
CGCGGGAUGGCGUAGCUGGUAGCCGCGGUGGUCUCAAAAACCACUGAGGAAGCUCGUGAGAGUUCGAGUCUCUCUCCCGCGA